CAUCUUCAGGGCAGGGUGAAAUUCCCGACCGGCGGUAAGAGCGUCGCUCAAGUCCGCGAGCCGUUAGGCUGAUCCGGUGCGAUUCCGGAACCGACAGUACAGUCUGGAUGGAAGAAGAUG
rnacentral:ncRNA from 1 species